ensembl:lncRNA
AUAAAGUUCCAUAUUGGGAUUAGUGUUUUGCUUAUUGUGCAGACAGCUCAUCCACAAAUUGUUAAUGAAGGAAAAUAUUGGGAUGGCACCACUGUAUUGAUUCCUCAGUAAUAUUCAAUGCGUCCUAUAUUUUAUGCAGAAAUUCAGAUUGAAGGAAGAAAAAUGGAAGGAACAUUGCCAAAAAAAGAAGGCGAGAUAUGUAACGGCACUCCACAAGCCAUCCCCUUUCAGGAGAUUGUCCAAGAAGAGCCACCAGGAUCAGGACUUUCAAUGACAAAUCAGGUGAGUUGAACACUACUUGAAGUUUGGAAAAUUGUGCAUCAGUGUUUGAGUAUAACUGUUGUUUUGGGUUUGUCCUUUGUUUGUUUUUUAAUAGAUACAAUGUGACACAUGUAAAAGGUGGUACCACGAACAGAGCCUUGACAUGAACAAUAAUGACUUUAUAAAAACAAAGGAAGAAGUAUGGAAGUGUGUCCUGUGCUUUUAAACUCAAUCAUGUAUGAAGUUUACGUCCUUAACUAUGAAGAUG